rnacentral:rRNA from 1 species
CGGAAGGUCCGGGCGUUUAUCCGGAUUUAUUGGGUUUAAAGGGAGCGUAGGCCGGAGAUUAAGCGUGUUGUGAAAUGUAGACGCUCAACGUCUGCACUGCAGCGCGAACUGGUUUCCUUGAGUACGCACAAAGUGGGCGGAAUUCGUGGUGUAGCGGUGAAAUGCUUAGAUAUCACGAAGAACUCCGAUUGCGAAGGCAGCUCACUGGAGCGCAACUGACGCUGAAGCUCGAAAGUGCGGUAUCGA